UGAACGCUGGCGGCGUGCUUAACACAUGCAAGUCGAACGAGAAAGGGACUUCGGUCCUGAGUAGAGUGGCGCACGGGUGAGUAACGCGUAGGUAAUCUACCUCUGCAUCUGGGAUAACACUUCGAAAGGGGUGCUAAUACCGGAUACACUUAUGUGUCGCAAGACGUAUAAGGAAAGGAGACCUCUCCUUGGAAGUUUCUGUGUAGAGAUGAGCCUGCGUCCCAUUAGCUAGUUGGCAGGGUAAUGGCCUACCAAGGCGACGAUGGGUAGCGGGUCUGAGAGGAUGAUCCGCCACACUGGAACUGAAACACGGACCAGACUCCUACGGGAGGCAGCAGUGAGGAAUAUUGGACAAUGGGCGCAAGCCUGAUCCAGCGACGCCGCGUGAGUGAUGAAGGCCUUUGGGUCGUAAAGCUCUGUCAGCAGGGAAGAACGGCCGUGUGGUUAAUACCCAUGCGGAUUGACGGUACCUGCAGAGGAAGCACCGGCUAACUCCGUGCCAGCAGCCGCGGUAAUACGGAGGGUGCGAGCGUUAAUCGGAAUUACUGGGCGUAAAGGGCGCGUAGGCGGCUGAUCAAGUCAGAUGUGAAAGCCCACGGCUUAACCGUGUGAAGUGCAUCUGAAACUGGUCGGCUUGAGUAUCGGAGAGGAAAGUGGAAUUCCCGGUGUAGAGGUGAAAUUCGUAGAUAUCGGGAGGAAUACCGGUGGCGAAGGCGACUUUCUGGACGAAUACUGACGCUGAGGCGCGAAAGCGUGGGGAGCAAACAGGAUUAGAUACCCUGGUAGUCCACAGCUGUAAACGAUGUGCACUAGAUGUGGGGAAGUGUUGACCUUUCCUGUGUCGCAGCUAACGCAUAA
rnacentral:rRNA from 1 species